rnacentral:sRNA from 1 species
AUCUCACAAUCAUUCAUGGCGAAACUUGAACUUGCAUACAGAUUGCAGCCGGGAGGGUGCAGCAUCUAAAAUAGAAACUGGGGAUGAAGCCCCUUGCUCAGAUCCUAGCACAGCCUUGGCGGCAACCUUCUUUGGAUGUUCUUCCACGCAUUCUAAGUUGCGUUUCUCGUAUACCAACUGUUCGGCCACGUCCGAUGGGCCAGGGUCCCAGCGGACUGCGUAAAUAACGCUAUUGUUGGCAGCCGACGUGUGGUAUUUGCAGCUCAGCCUCUCACGACACAUGGCUGCUCUGAUCUGAACUUGCGUGUCCAGUUGACCGGCCACAGAAGCACAGCACAAUUGACAGAAUUAGACAAUUAGGCUGCCUUCAAUGCACCCCUGCAAGGAGCGAGCCGCCAGUUACGGCUCCUUCACGGUGAUCGGAACUUGCCGUUCGGCGAUCCGACAAGCCAGAAGACGCUAAGAAUGUUUCGUCAUGAUCACCUCCUAUUUGGGAGGGACAGACAGCGGGAGCAAGAGGUAUGGCUCAGGAAUCCAGCUCCGUGGAACCUCCUUUUCCAUAAUUGGAAAACCGGGUCGUAACGUAAACCAGCAGACCAUAUGGGGCUGAGGCGGUUCGAGAUGGGAAGUUAUUAAGUCCUGGAAAUCGCAUUUAUGAUGCCUUUCUUCCCUCCA